GAGUCGUCCACAAAUAUUAAUUGCAUUUUAAUGUCUUCAUUUUGUCGAAUAUUUGCUACACAAAAAGCCAUUAAACUGAUUACUUACACAGCCAUUGACACCUUGGGGCUUUGCACAAGUGGAGCAAGUUGUUUGCCCAAAAGAUUCUCCGGGUGAGAAGAAAAUCAAAAUAAAAGCACACCGAAGAGCUCUUCACUUUUUGAACUCAAUGUGUGUGUUGGCUCGAUACGAAUUACUUUUAUAUGGAGCAAUAUCGAAUAACUGGCACAUUGGCAGUGAGUGAGACGGCAGCUUUGUUGGCACGACCAAAAACUAAGUCCAACAAUUGGCAGUUGCACAAAAUAAGUUUUACGUUUUUGCCAGUGGCCCAAAAAUAGACGACACAGCAUAUAUACAUGCAUGUAUAUGUAUUCGUAAUACUCCCCAGUUGGCAGCUGACCAGCCGGUCAGCCGGCCGGCCACAAGACAAAACCAAGAUCCGACCUCACGGACACAGCCAUGGACAAUAAAACAAAUUGCAUAGAACUUCAUUUUCUGUGGCACACUGCGACGUUUGUGCUGCCAUAAAAAUCCUGGCGUUGGACCCGUAUUUUCUAGUAAUAAUAAACUCGCUCUAAAAUAUUUUAUUUUUUCUUUAAACUUACAACAUUUAAGAAAAGAUCCACAGCUGCUUUAAGGCGAGUGCUGUUUUUAACCUAACCCAACCUAAUGUACACUAAGCUUAGCCCGACAAUAAAAGACUAACAGUCGCUGUCCGCCCGAGCGAGUUUUCACUGUA